GUUUUUUCCUUAUGUAAUCUACUUUUUGUUAAUAGAGUUAUGUAAUAGGAGACCAGCCAGAAAGGAAUAUUGAUUCAAUUUCAGAUGCCAGAUGUGUAAGACUGUCUCAUUAUCUAAAGACACAUAAAACAUAUGCACAAUUAUUAACAAGCCAGAGUUAUUUAUUGUCAACCAAAGUAAAUAAGUGAGUUACUUACUAACCCUGCCAAAGACACUGCUAUAACACCUCCUCCAGGGGAAGAAAAGGAGGUUAGGAUGGAUAGCCGAGUGCUGAGGGUGAGAGGAUCCCUAAUAAUCAAAGGUGGUGGUGGUGGUGGUGGUAAAGGUGAACCACUUUUGUUGUGCAGAUAAAAUAAUGCAGCAUAGAGUUUCCCUCAACGGUUCACUUUCUUUGUGGCCGGUAACCAUAAUCGGUAUUGCCUGUCUAAAGCCAGUGCCACACUAUGCUUCUGAGAUUCAGUCAGUGGGGUCAGCUUGUGUGAGGCAGUGCCAAGCACUAACAGAAGCUAUUCAUGUGAUCAAUGAUCCAUGGAUCUGGGACAGCAGCAGAGUUAAAUUAGGUAAGAUGGUUGUUAAGUGAUUAUCUUUUGCCAUCAAACCCGGAAUCAACUUCCAGCUCUCUCUCUUCAAUUGUAUCCUGGGUUGGCACAAAUGUGUUCUCCAGUGGGAACAAAAUAGGUCCAACUCUAUGUUGUGAAGUGCAGAAACAGAAAAAAGAACCCUACAUUUCUGGACCAUAAAAGACCUCGACUAGCCAAUGCAAUCUUGAGAAAAGAAGAACAAAGCUGGAAGCAUCAUGCUCCCUGAUUUCAAACUGUAUUACAAAGUUAUAGCAACUAAAACAGUACACUGGCAUUUUAAAAAGACACACAGAUCAAUGCAACAGAAUAGAGAACCUAAAAAAUAAAUCCAUUCGUGCAGGUCAAUUAAUUUAGAAUAAAGGAGCCAAGAAAAUACAAUGGAGAAAGGACAGUCUCUUCAACAAUGGUACUGG